rnacentral:rRNA from 1 species
GACGAACGCUGGCGGCGCGCUUAACACAUGCAAGUCGAGCGAGAACCAGGGCUUCGGCCCUGGGGACAGCGGCGAACGGGUGAGUAACACGUGGGUAAUCCACCCUCGGCACCGGAAUAGCCCGGGGAAACCCGGAUUAAUGCCGGAUGGCCCGUCGACCCUUCGGGGCUGACGGAAAAGGUAGCUUUGGCCUCCGGCCGGGGACGAGCCCGCGGCGGAUUAGCUUGUUGGUGGGGUAACGGCCUACCAAGGCUCCGAUCCGUAGCUGGUCUGAGAGGACGAUCAGCCACACUGGGACUGAGACACGGCCCAGACUCCUACGGGAGGCAGCAGUGGGAAUCUUGCGCAAUGGGCGAAAGCCUGACGCAGCGACGCCGCGU